UACAGAGGUCUCAAGCGUUGUCCGGAAUUAUUGGGCGUAAAGAGCUCGUAGGCGGUCUGUCGCGUCGAUCGUGAAAACUUGGGGCUUAACCCUGAGCUUGCGGUCGAUACGGGCAUGACUGGAGUUCGGCAGGGGAGACUGGAAUUCCUGGUGUAGCGGUGAAAUGCGCAGAUAUCAGGAGGAACACCGGUGGCGAAGGCGGGUCUCUGGGCCGAUACUGACGCUGAGGAGCGAAAGCGUGGGGAGCGAACAGG
rnacentral:rRNA from 1 species